rnacentral:rRNA from 1 species
AGCGAACGUUAGCGGCGGGCCUAACACAUGCAAGUCGAGCGAGAAAGUGGCUUCGGCCACGAGUAAAGCGGCGGACGGGUGAGUAACACGUAGGUAAUCUUCCCUUGAGCGGGGGACAACGAGCCGAAAGGCUCGCUAAUACCGCAUACGUUUCCAGAGACUCUGGUCUUUGGGAGGAAAGCUUGGCCCCAAGGUCCGGCCCCCGAGGAGGAGCCUGCGUCGCAUCAGCUAGUUGGUGGGGUAACGGCCUACCAAGGCGAAGACGCGUAGCUGGUCUGAGAGGAUGACCAGCCACACUGGGACUGAGACACGGCCCAGACUCCUACGGGAGGCAGCAGUGGGGAAUAUUGGACAAUGGGCGCAAGCCUGAUCCAGCCACGCCGCGUGAGUGAUGAAGGCCUUCGGGUCGUAAAGCUCUGUGGGGAGGGACGAACCGCUGCACGUUCAUAGCGUGCAGCAUGACGGUACCUCCUUAGCAAGCACCGGCUAACUUCGUGCCAGCCGCCGCCGUAACAC